GAUGAACGCUGGCGGCGUGCCUAACACAUGCAAGUCGAGCGAUUCUCUUCGGAGAAGAGCGGCGGACGGGUGAGUAACGCGUGGGUAACCUGCCCUGUACACACGGAUAACAUACCGAAAGGUAUGCUAAUACGGGAUAAUGUGCUUUUAUCGCAUGGUAAAGUAUCAAAGCUCCGGCGGUACAGGAUGGACCCGCGUCUGAUUAGCUAGUUGGUAAGGUAACGGCUUACCAAGGCGACGAUCAGUAGCCGACCUGAGAGGGUGAUCGGCCACAUUGGAACUGAGACACGGUCCAAACUCCUACGGGAGGCAGCAGUGGGGAAUAUUGCACAAUGGGCGAAAGCCUGAUGCAGCAACGCCGCGUGAGCGAUGAAGGCCUUCGGGUCGUAAAGCUCUGUCCUCAAGGAAGAUAAUGACGGUACUUGAGGAGGAAGCCCCGGCUAACUACGUGCCAGCCGCCGCAGUAACAC
rnacentral:rRNA from 1 species